rnacentral:rRNA from 1 species
GGUUGCGAUCAUACCAGCACUAAUGCACCGGAUCCCAUCAGAACUCCGCAGUUAAGCGUGCUUGGGCGAGAGUAGUACUAGGAUGGGUGGACCCCCUGGGAAGUCCUCGUGUUGCAACCC